AAGGAUCAUUAGCAAAAAAAUCUUUGGUUGUUGGGUUAGGGAGGGUUUUGGUUGGGGGGGUUUUUUAAAUUCCCUCUAUCAUCCUCUCUUAAUCCUAACCAAAAUAUUCACUCGGAUUGUCAUGGACAGUCUCGAGAUAUAUUCACGAUUGUAUUGUUUGACCGAGUCAUGUGACCUUUUAAAAAAAGAUAACUUUUAACAAUGGAUCUCUUGGCUCUU
rnacentral:misc_RNA from 1 species